rnacentral:lncRNA from 1 species
AGAGGGAGGAGUUAAGGAGACAGACAGAGAGAGAGAGAGAUCUGAGGAGAAGAGGGAGAACCAAAAUGGAGGCUGACGUGGUGUUAUCAAAGUGGAGUGACCAGGGCUGACAGGUAUUCUGACAUCUGCUCCCUGAGAGGUGACGUGGGAAGUCCUGCACUGUGAGUCCAUUGAGUAGGACACACCCAGGCCUCUUCUUUUCUCCAGGAUAUGUGCAAGAUGAGAGCCAGCCAUCGUCUCCUGAUAGUGGAGAUUUGAUCUGAAGCAUUCAAAUAGGAAAUGAAUGCUCAGAGGAAGCUUCAAAUUUCUUUCUACUUGAAGAAGCUGAAUUGCAGAAGCUAUCUCUGUCCUGUUAAUCACCGGGUCCACAGUGAAACCAGCCAACUUCAGAGAGUGAGUUAAAAGAGAGACUCUUGUGCUGCGUGACCCCUGACUGUAACCAAGUGUCCUUCUCUCUGAGACGUUCCCUCGGAGCUUGUUCUCACAGCCCUCACCUCCAGUGACCUCCACGAACUUUUCCACACGAGGGGUUCUCUGCUUCCCUCCAUCUGAGCUGCGCAAUUCCACCAGGCCUUUUGCUCCUCUUCAGUCAGGUGCUUUGGAGGUAAUGAAGUCUUUCGGGGGAAAAAUAAACAAAGGAAAUGCACCCGGUUGAUGUCAAUGGACUUGUUUAACUAUUUAAGGCCACUGUCUCCAAGUGUAAGUGUGCUGCGGUGUGUUUUGUAAAGUAGCGCUUAUAAUCCACUGAGCUUUCCAAACAGCCCUCUUGCCUAUUAAGCCUGCAUUGAGAAGUGGGUUUAAUUUGCCAGAGUAGUUUUUUGUGAUAAUUACAGGACUUGCAGAUUAGCUUGAGUGACUUGGCAAGGUUCUGUAGCUAAUAAAAAAUCACACAGGAAAAAAAUUGUAACAUUCAAUUGCUUCAAGGUUCUUCACGAGAGAAACAUUAAACAAACCUGAUAGGCCAGUUUCCAGUCUGUGAAGGGACUUGGAGGCAAGCCGGGAGAGAGGGAGGAGAAAGAGAUCGCCAUGAUGGGGAAGAAGGAAGAGGAGACCUAAAGGCCAGCUGACAUGUGAGAAUCAGGGAAAGUGGCCACACGGGCCACUUCCACAGCUGUGUUUGAGGACCAACGGUACUGUUGCUCUAGCUACAGGAAUAAUCCUGGGCAGCACUUGUUGACCUUGGUCACUGUCAAGGGAAGAUCGGCUGUUCCCACUGAGGGCAUCUUGAUGGAUUAAGGUGAUCAGCUGAUCAAUGUGAGGGGACAGAUGGGAGCUAGGAACUGUCUCGGUACUGAGUCAUUUUUCAUCUAAUGUGCAAGAAACCCAAAGAGCACAUCAAACAGCGAACUACGCCUAAGCUAUCCAUGUUUCUCCUGCUUCUUCUGAGAGGGUGAUUUACACGUAGCUCAACACUCGAGUGUUGCAGUAUCGAGUGACUGCAACCAAACAAUGGAACAUGCAUCGUGCCUGUUGACAGAGCCUGCAGUUGGCUUGGAACCGGGACCAUGCUGCAUUCGACAUCGUUCCUGGUGGCUGACUUGUUCCCAUAGAAUUAAAUGCUAGGCAUCCAGAAGCUGACUGUGCAUCUGAUGGGCUCACUAACAUUCAGGAACAGGUUGGCCUCAGACUUCAUCAAUGGAAAGAGCCACCUAGAACAUGGAUGCAAGCUGGAACUUUGACGUUGUCUUGGGGAUAAAAGUUAAACAAAGAAGUGGAUUCUUCAGUCCUGACGCGUAAGUCACUGAGAGGAUGAGCUCGUUCCCUCUCCUGAAAGACAUCUUCCUGUUACAGCAGCCAGCUUUGCCAGCUCCCUGAACGUUCUGCUGCCUCCUUGCCCAGAACA